rnacentral:misc_RNA from 1 species
GAGAACAACGAAACAUCGCGGAGAACAAGCUGAGGUUGCGCGGUGACGAUCGUGCUUCUGCAGAGCCCCUUCUUUUCCCCUGUGUUUACUACUGCCGUUUUCGCCUUUACGGCAUUUGAAACUUGUUCCGUUGUCAGUUUUCAAGCUCCUCAUUUCUCGCUAACGCCAUAAUGCCCCCUGCCAACGUGAGGGACAUCAAGCAGGCGCGCGCCGCCGUGGACGAGCUGGAGAAGGCGCUGGCGGGCCAUCUCUUUCUAGGAGGUGCGAAGCCGGCUAAAGAGGACGUAGAUAAGUUUUACGAGAUGUUUGGCGAGCACAACAUCGCGUUCUACCGCUGGGUACGCAACAUGGCGUCCUUCACGGAGUCGGAGCGCAAGUCGUGGGGCCUGCCGGAGACUCCGUAGUGCGAGAGGCGACGAGAGACAACGAUAGGUGAGUACUCAUGGAGCAUCCAAUAACAGCGCGUGCAGCAUGCUGCAUCUCACCUGAUAUAUAUGUAUAUAUUGCUCCUCAUGCCCAUGAGAGAGGGCUGUUGAGAGAGAGGAGGAUACGUCUUGGCUGACGCGUUGUUGACCAGUGCAGGUGUGAGGCAGCUUGCCGAGGCCAACACUUCUAGGCCUUCCCUCUCUUUGUCAUUGGAUGCUCACUGUCCCCACAUCUCUCUAGUUUUACUCCCGAACUCACCAAAGGUGCCCCCCUUCCCCCUCCUCACCCUGUCGGCCGCCCUCGUCUUUCCUCGCUCUCCCAUUCGACUCGGACCAGCGCACUGCGCGCUCAUCUCAUCGUUUUUCGUCUCUCUUAAAUGCCACGGCGCG